GUGCGUGCCUGCGCGCGUGUGUGUGGAUAAAAUCCUCAACAAGUUGCAGAAGGGGAAGGGAGAGGAGGGGUUAAUCCUGGGGAAUCUUCUGCACCUAGUGAGAUCGUGACCCUCCCACACAGUACAGUAACUUAUAUACAUACCUGGAGGAAGGGAGGCUUUGCUUUUGGGCUUUCUUUAAAAAAAAAAAACAAACAACCAAAAAAAAACCCCCAAAACCCCCCAAACCCCAAACCCAACCCAAAACACUGUUGGUGGCGGUUGCACCCCGCGCGGGACUCCCCGGAGCGGCCAGGGACGCGCCCCGCCAGGGGCGGCCACGCCGUCGGAGGCCGGAGGCGCCGCGGGAAGCAGCGAGGGAGGCCCGCAGGGAGUGCGGCAUAGCCCCUGUUCUGGACAGAAGGACGGCCGUCCAAGGGAAGCAAGCAUCACCUCUCAGUUUGGCCACCUUCCAUGCGAUGGAGCACUGUAGCUGAGUGGUGGGUUGACUUAGGCUUGCAUCACCGCCCUGAAGCAGAUUGCAUCUGCAGUCAUCUGGAACUGACUACAUGCCUGAACUGAUGAAAGAUGCUGUGGAAACGUGGAUCUCCGGGGCCUCGGCAAGAUGCUUUUGCCGUAUCCCGUCUCUUUAUUGCCUGGUCCUCUGGAAGACAAAAGAGUGAGAAUCAGGGGUGUGUCGUUAUCCUGCGAACAGUUUGAGAACUGCUUUGACAGCCGAUAGAAGAAGAUAAUGUGAUGUGGCCACCGCAAGCGCAUGCUCUUUCUAACAGUUUACAGUUGCACUAUGAUCCUAAUGAGGAGCGAUGCUCAAACCUCCCUCUGAUUAUGUGUUCUUUUCUCAUACUGUAACAAUAUUGUUUCUUUCCAACACACAAGCGUUCAUGCAAAAAUGCCAAAAUUCUCCAUGCAGAUUAAAGUAGGUUUACAAAUUAAGGAAAGGCUGGUGUGGAGCAAAAGGAAAAUUAAAUUAUCCUAGCAAUUUUGCACUUCCUUGUAAUCAAAGUCCUGUCUUUGGAAGGUGUUAUGUAGGAUACACACUUGGUGAGGCCUGUGAGAAUUUUCCUUGUGUCAAGACAGCAGGAGUUAGCCCUAGCAAAUCACACGCUUGUAAAAAUGGUGGCCAGUAAGCAAUAGGUGGGCUCUCUUGGGGAAGAGCAGGAAGAAACCUUGGUGAGAGCUUGAUCCUCUGCAGUGUCACCUUUCACAACCGACUGACUGACAAACAAAAGAAAAGGGGAGCUAGAUCACUGUGAGGAUGGACACCUCCUUUUGUGUAACAGAAUGAAAUCCAGUGAUGUGCUCCCUCCCACUAGAUCUGAUACAACUGCUGUAUGAUAAAGAUUAAUUUCUAAAAAUCAAGUGUAAACCUAUAGGUCAGCCAGUAAGACAGUGACUUGACAAAUUUUUCAUUGCAAGCUGUGUGAUAGUUUCAUGCCUUUAAUCUGCAUUGCUGCAGAUGGUGUGUUGUUGAAUCCAGUGAAGUUUGAAUCCCACCAUGAAUUUGUUUUCCGCAAGUAGAUUAUGAACAGAAACCUUUGAUUUCUAUUAAUUAUAUAUCUCAGUGAAAAGCUUGUGUGUGUGUAUAUAUAUAUAUCUUUAAUAACAGGAAAUGUAACAAACAUUUAUUUUUAUUAAAUUAAUAAAAGAGAUAAACCUAUCAAA